rnacentral:rRNA from 1 species
GAUGAACGCUGGCGGCGUGCUUAACACAUGCCAGUCGAACGAUGAAGCCCAGCUUGCUGGGUGGAUUAGUGGCGAACGGGUGAGUAACACGUGAGUAACCUGCCCUUGACUCUGGGAUAAGCCUGGGAAACUGGGUCUAAUACUGGAUAUGACUUCUCAUCGCAUGGUGGGGGGUGGAAAGAUUUAUUGGUCUUGGAUGGACUCGCGGCCUAUCAGCUUGUUGGUGAGGUAAUGGCUCACCAAGGCGACGACGGGUAGCCGGCCUGAGAGGGUGACCGGCCACACUGGGACUGAGACACGGCCCAGACUCCUACGGGAGGCAGCAGUGGGGAAUAUUGCACAAUGGGCGCAAGCCUGAUGCAGCGACGCCGCGUGAGGGAUGACGGCCUUCGGGUUGUAAACCUCUUUCAGCAGGGAAGAAGCGAGAGUGACGGUACCUGCAGAAGAAGCGCCGGCUAACUACGUG